GCUACACUGGGACUACCUGUGAAAUUGUCGUUUGUGCUGCCGAUUCGUGUAUGAGUAGAGGAGCUUGUACUGAUGGAGAUCCCACCGUUACGUGCGUAUGUGAUGAUGGCUACACUGGGACUACCUGCGAAAUUGUCGUUUGUGCUGCCGAUUCGUGUAUGAGUAGAGGAGCUU
rnacentral:lncRNA from 1 species